AAACCAUAUGACAGAGGAGAGCUGGAACACUUCACUGCGUCUGACUUCUCAUCAUUUCAUAUACAAAUGAAGGACUACCAUAUGAUAGCUGUUCUGAAAAGUGACCAUUUAAUAAUGUAAAUGAUGUCAGGCAAACAAAAAGAUGUUAAAGCAAACACAUAAUUUCUCCUUGGAAAGCCACAUUGUACACUUUGUUUUUUAACCUCGCUCCAUGGAUGUGCUAACAAUUCAUGUCAUGGAGGACUCCUCUGACAGUGCCGUGUUCCGGGUCCAGGUUCAGUGUGCUGACACUUUCCUGCUAAACUACUGGCUCCACAAGACCUUCUUCAACAACGGGGAAGUCCAGCAGAUCAACACCCUGAGGACAAACGGCUGCCGUGGGCUAGUGUUUGUUUUGAGGGUGCUGCAUCGUUCUUCACGCCUCCCUAAUUCCCAUUACUGGUGCCCUUUUCUAGUAACACUCUGCCUGGAUGCCCUGGCAUUUCACUACCACCUCCCCUCUGUGCCCCAGUGGAACGGCACCCUUCGAGAGGCGAUGAGAGGAAACAGCCUGGAGCUCAGACGCUGAUAUACUCGAGGCUUUGCUGUUUGCACAUCCUGUUAGUUUCAGAUAUUUGCUUACAAAAACGGCGCACUGGAAGUAGCUCAUUUUACCGUUGUAGAUGUAGUACGUGCCGUCUUUGAACACUGCAACGACGGGAACAUCCUGCAGGGUGACUGCCUAUGGAGAUGACCGGUUAUGAGUUGUUUGUGAAAAAGAUAAUCAGAUUAUUUUAGAGAUUAUUUUACAGAAACAUCUUACCUUUGGAAGGAUUUCCUCAGAGGCAGUGAAAAAAUAUGUGUGGACAAUAUACUCAGUGGCAGCUUUAUAGUAUUCUUUCUGUAAAAACAAAUAAUAAUAACAAUGAAAUAUAAACUUGUAGAUUACAUUUCAAUAGCAGUAGAAUAUGAACCAUUUUAUGUGUUUACCUAGUAAUAAAUACAUGUAAUAUACAUUAUAAAAUAAUAAACUUCUUAAUAAAGUAGGCCACUUUUAAUUUUUAGAGCCCUUAAAAGGAUAAUCUGCCCAAAAAUGAAGGCAAUCGAAAUGUUUAUGGAAAUUUCGUUUGUAGAAAAUUAAAGAUUAUUAGCUGAACCCAUUGGAGAGAAGAAAGUUAAAUAAAAAUACAGGCAAAACAAUGAUAAUCCCAGAGGUUUCUGGUAAGAAUUGAGUUCUUAUGAACUUAAACAAAACUGAACAUUAUUACCUUAAGUCCACAUCCUUUUGCAAAUUGCCCUGGGCAUGUUCACAAUUUUGUUCGGAGCCAUUUGCCCUCUCAUUUUUGACUUUCAAAGUGCAGGU